rnacentral:rRNA from 1 species
AUUGAACGCUGGCGGCAUGCUUUACACAUGCAAGUCGAACGGUAACAGCACUUCGGUGGCUGACGAGUGGCGAACGGGUGAGUAAUACAUCGGAACGUGCCUAGUAGUGCGGGAUAACUACUCGAAAGAGUAGCUAAUACCGCAUGAGAUCUAAGGAUGAAAGCAGGGGACCUUCGGGCCUUGCGCUACUAGAGCGGCUGAUGGCAGACUAGCUAGUUGGUGGGAUAAAAGCUUACCACGCCGACGAUCUGUAGCUGGUCUGAGAGGACGACCAGCCACACUGGGACGGAGACACGGACCAGGAUCCUAAGGGAGGCAACAGUGGGGAAUGUUGGACAAGGGGGGCGAGGCUGGUGCAGCAAUGCCGCGUCGAGCAUGAAGACCUUCGGGUUGUAAACUACUUUUGUACGGAACGAAAAGCUCUCAGCUAAUACAGGAGGAACGUGACGGUACCGUAAGAAGAAGCACCGGCUAACUACGUG